UACAGAGGGUGCGAGCGUUAAUCGGAAUUACUGGGCGUAAAGGGCGCGUAGGCGGCGCGGUAAGUCACUUGUGAAAUCUCUGAGCUUAACUCAGAACGGCCAAGUGAUACUGCAGUGCUAGAGUGCAGAAGGGGCAAUCGGAAUUCUUGGUGUAGCGGUGAAAUGCGUAGAUAUCAAGAGGAACACCUGAGGUGAAGACGGGUUGCUAGGCUGACACUGACGCUGAGGCGCGAAAGCUAGGGGAGCAAACGGG
rnacentral:rRNA from 1 species